rnacentral:rRNA from 1 species
UUCGCCCUUAGAGUUUGAUCCUGGCUCAGGAUGAACGCUGGCGGCGUGCCUAACACAUGCAAGUCGAACGAAGCUUUUCUGUUUGGAGAUUCGUCGAAGAAGAGAAAAUGACUUAGUGGCGGACGGGUGAGUAACGCGCGAGCAACCUGCCUUUCAGAGGGGGACAACAGCUGGAAACGGCUGCUAAUACCGCAUAAUGUCACGGGACGGCAUCGUUCUGUGACCAAAGGAGCAAUCCGCUGAAAGAUGGGCUCACGUUGGAUUAGUUAGUUGGCGGGGUAAAGGCCCACCAAGACCGCGAUCCAUAGCCGGACUGAGAGGUUGAACGGCCACAUUGGGACUGAGAUACGGCCCAGACUCCUACGGGAGGCAGCAGUGGGGAAUAUUGGGCGAUGGGCGCAAGCCUGACCCAGCAACGCCGCGUGAAGGAUGAAGGUCUUCGGAUUGUAAACUUCUUUGAUCAGGGACGAAACAAAUGACGGUACCUGAAGAACAAGCCACGGCUAACUACGUGCCAGCAGCCGCGGUAAAACGUAGGGGGCAAGCGUUAUCCGGAAUUACUGGGUGUAAAGGGUGAGUAGGCGGCAUGGUAAGCCAGAUGUGAAAGCCCGCAGCUUAACUGCGGGACUGCAUUUGGAACUACUAAGCUAGAGUACAGGAGAGGUAAGCGGAAUUCCUAGUGUAGCGGUGAAAUGCGUAGAUAUUAGGAGGAACACCAGUGGCGAAGGCGGCUUACUGGACAGUGACUGACGUUGAGGCUCGAAAGCGUGGGGAGCAAACAGGAUUAGAUACCCUGGUAGUCCACGCCGUAAACGAUGACUACUAGGUGUCGGGUGGCAAAGCCAUUCGGUGCCGAAGCUAACGCAUUAAGUAUUCCACCUGGGGAGUACGUCCGCAAGAAUGAAACUCAAAGGAAUUGACGGGGACCCGCACAAGCGGUGGAGCAUGUGGUUUAAUCCGAAGCAACGCGAAGAACCUUACCAAGCCUUGACAUCCCGAUGACAGGCAUAGAGAUAUGCCCUUCUACGGACAUCGGAGACAGGUGGUGCAUGGUUGUCGUCAGCUCGUGUCGUGAGAUGUUGGGUUAAGUCCCGCAACGAGCGCAACCCUUACGUUCAGUUGCUACGCAAGAGCACUCUGGACGGACUGCCGUUGACAAAACGGAGGAAGGCGGGGAUGACGUCAAAUCAUCAUGCCCCUUACGCCCUGGGCCACACGCGUACUACAAUGGCGCAAACAACGGGAAGCAACACCGCGAGGUGAAGCAAAUCCCCAAAAGGCGUCUCAGUUCAGACUGCAGGCUGCAACUCGCCUGCACGAAGUUGGAAUUGCUAGUAAUCGCGAAUCAGAAUGUCGCGGUGAAUACGUUCCCGGGCUUUGUACUCACCGCCCGUCA